rnacentral:rRNA from 1 species
UACGGCCAAGGUCGUUAAAAACACCGACCAACAUCGUGGCGACUACGGACCAAGGUGGUUUUUGAAGUGGUGUGGUUUUUAGCGGCGGAGCAGCGUCGUAGCCCGAGUCGGCCAAGGUCGUAGGAGGCGGUGCCAAGGUAGCAAAACGGUGGCACCAAACGUCGUGGGCAGUCGCACCAGUGGCACGGGCACCACCCGUUGCGGUACGAGCCGACCAACGUCGUAGCGACCUGCGGCAGAGGUCGUGGUUACCUGCGGGGGCAGAGGUCGUGGGCGAGGCGGUGCGGCGGGGUUCCGGCGGCGGUACGUCACCAAUCGUCGCGGCGGGGGGCAGUUUCGGUACUCGUACCUCUUCCACGUCCGGUACAGGAGGGGGACGGAACGCGCUACUGCCCUGCACGACGCAGUGCACCUCUACCUCUGGCCGGCUCACAACGCGGCCGUAAAGGGAAUCUCAAAAAGCACAGUUGACGAAAACCGCCCAGCAAGGGGUACGCGACGCGCGCAGCACGCAACACCCCUGUCGACGGCUCCCCGGAGCUACCGAGCAGGUUAGGGGAGAGCAGGGCUGAGGGCUCCGAGCGCAGUCGGCGGAGCAGAGGUAGGGGCGAGUUAGGGGCGUCGACGACCUAGGUCUUUCUUUUAGGGGGUCGGCGGUGUGGGAAAGAAGAGGUACCGAGCCGAGGGGAGGGCGCACGCAGGGACGCCGCGGACACAUACCUACUCCUCCAGCUCCCGUGCUCGUUCCUAGUACGGCUUGUCCCCGCGUUACCCCACCGGCCCCUCGCGCGCCACAGACCUCUCUGUUUCUACGAGGAUUCGUCUCCUGCCGCGUCGCGACCGAAGAGGAGAGGGGGGCGACGGACGUGUGGAGCGGCUACAGACGAGCAGUAGGCCCUUCUGAGACUUCACCGUUAUCCCCAACCGCCUACGAGGCUCUGGUAUUUCUCGGAUAAGUUACUACUCUUCCUACUGUACCGCUUCCUCCUAAGGCUGUUCAAUCGGGGGUGUUAGCCCGUCAACCUCUCGAACGUGCUCGAACUAGGUACCUGUAGCAGUCUCACGAGUAAAAGAACGUCAUAUAAUAAAAGUCUAGAGUACAAAGAGUUCCGAACGAGAGUCGUGAGGAGAUCUGUCCCUUUCGGCUACUGAGGUAUAUCCUCAAAUCUAAUGAGACUCUUGACGGCCAUGGUACGGUAGUGCUUGUUCUAAGAACUACAACGAAUACCACGGGGAAACCUGAAGAAGAAGUUACCAGGGUGCGGCCGGGUUUAUUAUAUACAGAACGAAUAAAAAACCACGAGGAAGCCAACCCGGAAACCCGGUGGGGAGAGAAGAUAAUGUUUUUUUUCCCCCAAAUGUCGUUGAACACAGAAAUCCGACUUGUUUAUGUAAGGUUUACCUUUCCUCAUGGGUCAAAAUGGGUCUUUCAACUCCGGAAGACCACCAACU